AUGACUGUGAGCACCAACACAGAAUACUGUACAUUCCUCAUGGAGACAUCACUGCUCUUCAUCCUCAUAAUGGCAGCAGGUAUAACUGCCGACACAAUUUAUCCUGUACAAGAUCAUUUUACCAAGACUGAAGAUGAAGCUGUCUGGCUGAAAUGCUCUUAUGAAACAAGCUACAUCACUGCUGAUCUUUACUGGUACAGGCAGUAUCCUUACCAAGCACCAGUAUUUUUGUUAUGGAAACGAGGGAAAGGUGCCUCAGAUAAGCUCAUCCCCGAUGAUCGAUUUGAUUCCAAAACCUCAGAAACAUCCACUGAUCUCCAUAUUAAACGUCUGACUCUGGCAGACACAGGCCUCUAUUACUGUGCUCUGUUGGUCGCCCAGUGA